GGCUGUGAGGAGGGAAAGAGAGAUCGAUCAGAUGGCGAAGUUCAACGUAGUGCAGAAGAGAAGAAGAGCACAAAUAGCAGAGAGCAAUACACGGAGACCCAUUAACUAAAAAGUUUAAGGACAAAACCCAGCCCCUCACUCUCUCUGGCAAGCGCAAGCGCAAGCUCUUUAAAAAAUGGCGCAGAGAGCAGAAGGAAGCUGUAGAUAAGGGUUUGGUCACUAUGCAAGACGUCGAGAUGGCUUUUGCUCCAGGAGAGGUUACAACCAAAGAUGCCAAAAGAACACCUACUAGAUUUCACAUGAACAAAGGCAAGAAGCUUAAGCGAUUGAAGCGCUAAGGCAAGUUUAUGUUUGAGUAAAAGUUGCAUACUGCCGAUGCCAAGUUCUGUACCUUUAUGAUUUAUCUAUUUCUUUACCCUCUUUCACUUUGAUUCUGUGCAAUUGUGUACAUUUGCUUCUCAAUACAUAGGUAAGAACAAGACAAAGCCUGAAGUUUUGGUGGAUGUCAUGGUAGAUGACACAUAUGAGACAGGGCGUGGUAUGGCAAUAACUGAUCUGUUUCCUGGAGGACACAACUGUACAGACUAAUUUGCCUGAUAAUGUAGGAGGCAAGGUUUGCACUUUCACUUUACGAGAGAAAAAUCAUGGAUUCCAACGAGUUAGCUAGAAGUAAUGAAGAGGACUAAUGGAAUUUGUGCCUCUGGAAUGAAAGAAUGUGAUAUGAUGUUACAGAUUCCUUAUUAGGGCACUUCCAUGCACUAAGGAUAUUUACGUAGCUAUAAUCUUUUUCAACAAGCAUUGAAAUGAAUUUUGUUGCUAUAUGAAACUCUGCUGCCAUUGCUCCUUCUAUUUUUUUUUUCAAGGAAAAACGAGUUGAUACAUAAUUUGUAUUA